CAGCAGCCGCGGUAAUACGAAGGGGGCUAGCGUUGUUCGGAAUUACUGGGCGUAAAGCGCACGUAGGCGGAUAUUUAAGUCAGGGGUGAAAUCCCAGAGCUCAACUCUGGAACUGCCUUUGAUACUGGGUAUCUUGAGUAUGGAAGAGGUGAGUGGAAUUCCGAGUGUAGAGGUGAGAUUCGUAGAUAUUCGGAGGAACACCAGUGGCGGAGGCGGCUCACUGGUCCAUUACUGACGCUGAGGUGCGAAAGCGUGGGGAGCAAAUGGGAUUAGAUACCCCAGUAGUCCCUGUCUCUUAUAC
rnacentral:rRNA from 1 species